rnacentral:lncRNA from 1 species
CCUUUUGCAUCUCAAUCAUUACAGAACAUAUUUUUCCUUAUUUACCAGCCUACUAGUAUCCAUGGGGAUCCAUAGGGGUCCCGCUACCCGUGAACCUUUAACACUUGUAAUCAGAUUCUAGGGUCGUCCCCAUACCCCGUCCGGUAUGGGCACCAAAACUAUAAACCUCAAUACUCCGUCCGGUAUGAGGGUGAAACGGGCCGUCCCCAUACCCCGUCCGGUAUGGGCGCCAAAACACAUAAGGUCUCCAUACCAUGUCCGGUAUGAGAGACUACAAUCCCGGUAGGGUUCCUUACGGACCCG